UAAAAAAAAACCACCAAACCCACAUUCUCAGUCUUUCACCGAAGAAACUCCCCAAAAACGAAAACCUUCUCUCGCUCCCUCGACCAUCAAAACCCUCUUUCCCCUGCGGCGGAGACUGCUCUCUCUCUCUCUCUCUCUCUCUCUCUCUCAGUCAUGUUCUAUGUACGCGGUCUUCUAGGGUUUACCAGCUUUUUGGUGUACUACUGAUCUCGGUAUUUCUUCAGAUUUGUUAGUGGUUCGCUGUUGUUUGUGGGAAAUCUGUGGUCUCUUUCGAUCUGUUGUGUUCAAGGACUAUCUCCAUUCUCGAUCCAUGCUGUCAUCCUGCCCUGGUGCUGAGCUUUCUUCUCAGUGUGACCCUGUCGAUCGGUUGCUUCCGGUCCUCUCUUUCGGAUCUCUCUCUGCUUUGAGGAAAGGUGGUCUUUGAUUUGGUUCUGCAAUAGUGAAUAACUAGAUGGAAUUAAAGAAGAAAUCUUUUUUCUUCUUCGUCACUACAUAAUCAGGUAUCUCAAUUGGUAUACGUGUUCUUACUUUCCUUAGAAUCACUAUUUUUCCUCAUUCUAUGGUUUUUUUCUUUCUUACUUUCCUUAGAAUCACCAUGAAUUCGAACAAAAAUUUUCCGUCCACUACCAUGAAUUCAAACAAAAAUAAGAUUAUGGUUAUGGUUGUUACAGC